GUCCUGGCAGUAAACGGUGCACGUUUGGUGUGGGGGAUUCGACCCCCUCCGUGCCGGAGCUAACGCGUUAAACGUGCCGCCUGGGAAGUACGGUCGCAAGAUUAAAACUCAAAGAAAUUGACGGGGACCCGCACAAGCGGUGGAGUAUGUGGCUUAAUUCGAUGCAACGCGAAGAACCUUACCUGGGUUUGACAUGCACUGUGUCCCCGAUGAAAGUCGGGUAGCAUAGCAAUAUGCGUUUUGCACAGGUGCUGCAUGGCUGUCGU
rnacentral:rRNA from 1 species